UACGUAGGGUGCGAGCGUUGUCCGGAAUUAUUGGGCGUAAAGAGCUCGUAGGCGGUCUGUCGCGUCGAAUGUGAAAACCCCGGGGCUCAACUCCGGGCUUGCAUUCCGAUACGGGCAGGCUAGAGUUCGGUAGGGGAGUCUGGAAUUCCUGGUGUAGCGGUGAAAUGCGCAGAUAUCAGGAGGAACACCGGUGGCGAAGGCGGGACUCUGGGCCGAUACUGACGCUGAGGAGCGAAAGCGUGGGGAGCGAACAGG
rnacentral:rRNA from 1 species